CCUAUGAAAGUAGCAUAUGUACUCAAUCAAAACCAAUCAGUUACAGAGGAACUGCUGAGUGAGAUGAAAAAAGUUCGAGAUUUUUACCGAGGGACUGAUGACUGGAUAAGCUUCAAUCAUUCCUGGCAAUCAUCAAGCAAAUAUAUAGACAAACUCAAGGAAUCAUUGAGCAGAAAACUACCUGCUGAUCAAAUGGAUAGUAGAACACUGCUGGAUUUUGUAGAACACCUAGUUCUGAACAAUUAAUGGUUAACUUGGAAUAAGUUAUAAACCAAAAGAUAUUUUUCACAAAGAAAUGUACAUAAUCUUGGAAUUGGACUGUGGUGGAUUGACUACAUAUGAAAAAAGGCAUUAAAUUUAACAUGUACAAAGAAACUGUUCUAAGUGAUGAAAUUAUGAUUUUUUUUUUAAAUUUGUUGAACAAAAGGUUUGGUUCUGAUAUUUUCGUGGAUAGAGACAGAAAUCGUAUUUUCAUGAUGACUUUAUUUUCUAGUUUUAUUAUUUUACAAGUUUUAUGACUUUUUCACCAAAAUCUUACAACUGAAAUUGAUAGAAAGUUAUAAUGAAAUGUGAAGGACUUGCAUUUAUUUUUACCAUGAAGAUUUUUGAUAAAAAGUGCUGCGUGCACUUAAAGAUUUAUAGAUGGGCAUUUAAGGAAAAUUGGUUGUAAGCACAAAGCAACAAUGUAUUUUAUUGAUUGACAUGUCUCUAAGAUUUUAUUUUCUGAUUUAACUUUGUACAAAUAUCAUUAGUGGGUAUAGAAAGCUGCUUUAACUAGCCAGUGGCAAUAAUAGCAAAUGGGAAGGCAAUAAUACUAUAACUCAGUAAUAAAAUUAAGUCAGCAAUAAUUAUAGUGAUAAAAAGUAUGCUGCUCUGCUUUGUAGAUUUUUUUAGAAUGUGACAAUAAAAAUUGUUAUAAGAAAACAUGAAAUUAC